rnacentral:rRNA from 1 species
GUGCCAGCAGCCGCGGUAAUACGUAGGUGGCAAGCGCUGUCCGGAAUUAUUGGGCGUAAAGGGCUCGCAGGCGGUUCCUUAAGUCUGAUGUGAAAGCCCCCGGCUCAACCGGGAAGGGUCAUUGGAAACUGGGGAACUUGAGUGCAGAAGAGGAGAGUGGAAUUCCACGUGUAGCGGUGAAAUGCGUAGAGAUGUGGAGGAACACCAGUGGCGAAGGCGACUCUCUGGUCUGUAACUGACGCUGAGGAGCGAAAGCGUGGGGAGCGAACAGGAUUAGAAACCCGCGUAGUCC